UACGUAGGGGGCAAGCGUUGUCCGGAAUCAUUGGGCGUAAAGAGCGUGUAGGCGGCUCGGUAAGUCCGCUGUGAAAGUCCAGGGCUCAACCCUGGAAUGCCGGUGGAAACUGUCGAGCUAGAGUCCGGAAGAGGCGAGUGGAAUUCCUGGUGUAGCGGUGAAAUGCGCAGAUAUCAGGAGGAACACCAAUGGCGAAGGCAGCUCGCUGGGACGGUACUGACGCUGAGACGCGAAAGCGUGGGGAGCAAACAGG
rnacentral:rRNA from 3 species